AGGUAGAACGCGCUCCUGUCCGCUCGCGGUUUGUUCAAUUGUGCGGUGAGCCUAAAGUUGAAAAGUUUUUUAACAAGUAAAAUUAAUGAUUUCGCAUGAAAGUGGUCAUACAGUGAUUGGUUAUUGGACUUGUACUUCCUAAGAAAUCAAUAACUUCUUUCAAUCCGCAAUAAACUUGAAUUUAUAAUUGAACGGGCUUGGUGACACCAAUAUAUUGUUUGGAAAAAGCACUUGUGAUAGACGUGAAAAAUCUUCUGUCGAUCUGUAGAUUUGAAUAUACACUCUGGACAUUUGAUGAUGGUUCCAUCUUGAGUUUUGGUACGAGGAGGAAUCGGCAUUUGAAACGCAGGAGCGUCACCGUACAGCAAAUCGUCUUCAUCAUCAACGCUUCCAGCAAGGAUAGGCUCUUCAAUUACUUUUUCUUCCCUGGAACCAGCGUCAUCGGUAUCGUCAGGAUGCUAACUCGACUGUGACAAUGUAUUUUCGACUUACAAAGAGAAGAUUAGCAGGAUGAAUAUGCAGUCGGGCAGCACCUCUGGUUUCUCUGAGCGUUAACAGCAUCACUUGACCAUCUUCUGAGAGAAGUGUGACAUAUGGAUCAGCACAGCUGGCGUGUACAAUAGGACAACCCAGAUCGAUGGGUAUAUGUUGAAUCUGUGACAAAAGUUUGCUGCCUUUGAUGCUUAGGCAUAACUUACGCAUGACGUUAACACACUGGCAGCAGCCUUGUCAAAAUGAAAACCACGAACAGAUCGCAUGCUGUCCGCGAAAAGGGACAGAACAUACAAUUCACCGCUCUUCAAUGAUAUGACCAAACGAUCAGAGGAUAUGAAUGCCACCUGGGCACCUUCCAAGCUCAUUUUAACGCCCUCCUGAGGCUCUGUAAACAGGAACAAAACAUAGUACAACUUUCAAAAUAAGGAGAAGUUUGACAACUAAGCGGCUGAGCAUUAAACCAGAUACUAACUGAGCGGAAAGUUGGUGCUGGUUUCUGCCAUACUAUUCAGUGAUACACCGUAUGGCGGGAUACUCUGAUUAAGAUAAAUCAGAGAAUUUACAGCCAUGAUGAGAGUUCCACCAAGUGGUUUUCUCACAGCAACUGCCUGGCAGCAGUCAAAAGGCAGAUUUGAUACUGACCAAAUAAUUGGAUGAACUUUCUGUUGGAUGUUUAAGGAUAUUGCAACCAUAGCGCAGGUAUCUUGCCUGACCGCGAUACGCCUGAACAGAAAUUCAAUGUUAAGUCAAAUUUUAUGUCUGACAGGAAUCUGUACACUUAUAUUAACACUAGAUCAGUUGCAUACCCUGCAAACGUCCUGACUGGUUCAUAAAGGAUCAACAGAGUUGGCUCAUAAUAUCCGUGCAAAAAUUGCAAGUCUAUUAUGUUGUCCAUUUUUUCCUCUAGCGUUUUCAGAACAAUCAUGUACGAAGACAAGAUUGGAGUUUUAUGCGAUGAUGAUGUCUUGGGGGCCUCAAGCAGAUCUCCAUCAUCGAUAAUCGGAUCCUUGCGAAAGGGAAGAACUACCAAUUUCCUACCGUAAACAAGCAUGACUGCGCAUCGUCCCUCGGGAUCAACCCUGACCAUAGUUAAAGCCAAAGAGUCAAGAGCACUGCUGCUCACCCGCAUUUCUUCCUCCUCGAAGUAAUGCAACGAUACUGUGCGGAGAUCAUGAGUGUCCAAGUCGUAUUCAACAACGGAAAGUUUUGCAUCUCUGAAGCUCAGG